GACGAACGCUGGCGGCGUGCUUAACACAUGCAAGUCGAACGGAAAGGCCCUGCUUUUGUGGGGUGCUCGAGUGGCGAACGGGUGAGUAACACGUGAGUAACCUGCCCUUGACUUUGGGAUAACGUCAGGAAACUGGGGCUAAUACCGGAUAGGAGCUCCUGCUGCAUGGUGGGGGUUGGAAAGUUUCGGCGGUUGGGGAUGGACUCGCGGCUUAUCAGCUUGUUGGUGGGGUAGUGGCUUACCAAGGCUUUGACGGGUAGCCGGCCUGAGAGGGUGACCGGCCACAGUGGGACUGAGAUACGGCCGAGAGUCGUACGGGAGGCAGCAGUGGGGAAUAUUGCACAAUGGGCGGAAGCCUGAUGCAGCAACGCCGCGUGCGGGAUGACGGCCUUCGGGUUGUAAACCGCUUUCGCCUGUGACGAAGCGUGAGUGACGGUAAUGGGUAAAGAAGCACCGGCUAACUACGUG
rnacentral:rRNA from 1 species